AGGAUUGCAAUAGAGAAUUGGGGAUUAGGGAUUACUGAGUGUGGCGAUUGGAAUUCUCAACGUAUCUUCUUCCUCGCUCUCAUUCGCGAACGGCGGCGGAAUGAUCUCCACUUCUCCGAUGAACUCAGAAACCGCUCUCCGCCUCUUCGAUUCAAUUCUCAGGCUCUCGUCUCAAUCUCGUCUCCGAUGUGUGUUGAAGGUGGUACAAAGGCGAUUCAAGCGAUGAUUCGAUGAUGAUGAUGCUGUUGGAGACGAAUCGAGCGAAAUUGUUACAGGUACCUUAAGUCGGGAUGGCACACGGUUUAGAAACAAGAAUCACUUGGUCAAAGCAAUAGGUUUUGCAGUAUGGAGCUGUUUGGUUUUUCAUGACUGUCACAUAACUUGUCUUUUUAUUCUUUAUUUCUUUUAGUAUGGAUCUGAAUUGGUUAUAUUUGUGUUAUGAGUGUGUGCAGGAUUUGAUGCUGAACUGUUGUGAUUCUGUUUGGGAAAGUGGUUAUGCAGGUUGCUUUUAACAAGUGAAGAAAUGGCUGCAAGUUGGUGGAUUGAGAUUUGGCUUCGGUUGCGUUUCGUGUAGCAUUAUGAAGGUUUGUGUGGAAUGGGGUACGGCUUGGAGCUUUGAGGAAAAGGUUUACAAGAUGGAACAAGAGAUAGAAUCAAGACUUUAGAACAAUUUUGUAUUUGAAAGGUGUAAUGUGUAAUUGAAAUUGGAUGAAUGUAUAGACAUUUGGAUCUUCUGAACUUUUGUAAUGGAUGAGAACCUUGGGACAAUUUUUGUAAUCUUGUAAAUUUUCCUUUAUGAAUGACUUUGAAUCCUUGAAUUUA